GCAGUACCUGAAAUCACAGACCAAAGCUGCAAAAAGACCCAAAGUCAUGAAAAGACCUGAAGUUGAAGUCCUGAAGCCUCGAAAUGACCCAAAGUAAGGAAAGGAGUCUAAGGAGCAUGGGGAUCUGGUCUUUUUCCAUGCCUAGAAGGUGCCUCGAUUGAAGAUUCUGGAGCCCAAAAGCAGUUUCGUAUCCCUUAUGUUCAAUCCCAGUACCUGAAAUCACAGACCAAAGCUGCAAAAAGACCCAAGUCAUGAAAAGACCUGAAGUUGAAGUCCUGAAGCCUCGAAAUGACCCAAAGUAAGGAAAGGAGUCUAAGGAACAUGGGGAUCUGGUCUUUUUUCCAUGCCUAGCAGUUGCCUCGAUUGAAGAUUCUGGAGCCCAAAAGCAGUUUCGUAUCCCUUAUGUUCAAUCCCAGUACCUGAAAUGACAGACCAUGUGGGGGGUCUUCAAAGCUGCGAAAAGACCCGACGUCACG